GGGGAUUUAGCUCAGUGGUAGAGCACUUGCCUGGCAAGUGCAAGGCCCUGGGUUCGGUCCCCAGCUCCG
rnacentral:tRNA from 1 species